rnacentral:rRNA from 1 species
AGCGAUGUGGUUUAAUUCGAAGCAACGCGAAGAACCUUACCAGGCCUUGACAUGCAGAGAACUUUCCAGAGAUGGAUUGGUGCCUUCGGGAACUCUGACACAGGUGCUGCAUGGCUGUCGUCAGCUCGUGUCGUGAGAUGUUGGGUUAAGUCCCGUAACGAGCGCAACCCUUGUCCUUAGUUACCAGCACGUUAUGGUGGGCACUCUAAGGAGACUGCCGGUGACAAACCGGAGGAAGGUGGGGGAUGACGUCAAGUCAUCAUGGCCCUUACGGCCUGGGCUACACACGUGCUACAAUGGUCGGUACAAAGGGUUGCCAAGCCGCGAGGUGGAGCUAAUCCCAUAAAACCGAUCGUAGUCCGGAUCGCAGUCUGCAACUCGACUGCGUGAAGUCGGAAUCGCUAGUAAUCGUGAAUCAGAAUGUCACGGUGAAUACGUUCCCGGGCCUU